rnacentral:rRNA from 1 species
AUUGAACGCUGGCGGCGUGCCUAACACAUGCAAGUCGCACGCGAAAGGGGGCAACCCCAAGUAGAGUGGCGGACGGGUGAGUAACGCGUAGGAAUCUACCUAGUAGUGGGGGACAACCCGGCGAAAGCCGGGCUAACACCGCAUACGACCUAAGGGUGAAAGCAGGGGAUCGAAAGACCUUGCGCUAUUAGAUGAGCCUGCGUCCGAUUAGCUAGUUGGUGAGGUAACGGCUCACCAAGGCGACGAUCGGUAACUGGUUUGAGAGAACGACCAGUCACAUUGGGACUGGGACACGGCCCAAACUCCUACGGGAGGCAGCAGUGGGGAAUAUUGGACAAUGGGGGCAACCCUGAUCCAGCGACGCCGCGUGUGUGAAGAAGGCCUUCGGGUUGUAAAGCACUUUCGGCAGGGACAAACAAGACGGAGCUAACAUCUCCGUUCCUGAUGGUACCUGAAGAAGAAGCACCGGCUAACUCUGUGCCAGCAGCCGCCGUAA